rnacentral:rRNA from 1 species
CGGUAACGCGGGGCAACCUGGCGACGAGUGGCGAACGGGUGAGUAAUAUAUCGGAACGUGCCCAGUAGUGGGGGAUAGCCCGGCGAAAGCCGGAUUAAUACCGCAUGAGACCUGAGGGUGAAAGCGGGGGAUCGCAAGACCUCGCGCUAUUGGAGCGGCCGAUAUCAGAUUAGCUAGUUGGUGGGGUAAAGGCCUACCAAGGCAACGAUCUGUAGUUGGUCUGAGAGGACGACCAGCCACACUGGGACUGAGACACGGCCCAGACUCCUACGGGAGGCAGCAGUGGGGAAUUUUGGACAAUGGGCGCAAGCCUGAUCCAGCAAUGCCGCGUGCAGGAAGAAGGCCUUCGGGUUGUAAACUGCUUUUGUCAGGGAAGAAAUCUUCUGGGUUAAUACCUCGGGAGGAUGACGGUACCUGAAGAAUAAGCACCGGCUAACUACGUGCCAGCAGCCGCGGUAAUACGUAGGGUGCGAGCGUUAAUCGGAAUUACUGGGCGUAAAGCGUGCGCAGGCGGCUUUGCAAGACAGAUGUGAAAUCCCCGGGCUCAACCUGGGAACUGCAUUUGUGACUGCAAGGCUAGAGUACGGCAGAGGGGGAUGGAAUUCCGCGUGUAGCAGUGAAAUGCGUAGAUAUGCGGAGGAACACCAAUGGCGAAGGCAAUCCCCUGGGCCUGUACUGACGCUCAUGCACGA